UCCUCACGUGGAGACAAGCUUUGAGG
rnacentral:piRNA from 1 species